AUCCUGGCUCAAGAUGAACGCUAGCGGCAGGCUUAAUACAUGCAAGUCGUGGGGCAGCAGGUUUGUAGCAAUACAGAUGCUGGCGACCGGCAAACGGGUGCGGAACACGUACAGAACCUUCCUUUGAGCGGGGAAUAGCCCAGAGAAAUUUGGAUUAAUACCCCAUAGUAUAAUGAAGUGGCAACACUUUAUUAUUAAAGAUUUAUCACUCGAAGAUGGCUGUGCGGCUGAUUAGGUAGUUGGCGGGGUAAAGGCCCACCAAGCCUGCGAUCAGUAACUGGUGUGAGAGCACGACCAGUCACACGGGCACUGAGACACGGGCCCGACUCCUACGGGAGGCAGCAGUAAGGAAUAUUGGUCAAUGGAGGCAACUCUGAACCAGCCAUGCCGCGUGGAGGAUGAAGGUCCUCUGGAUUGUAAACUUCUUUUAUAUGGGACGAAAAAAGGCUUUUCUAAGUCGUCUGACGGUACCAUAUGAAUAAGCACCGGCUAACUCCGUG
rnacentral:rRNA from 1 species